rnacentral:lncRNA from 1 species
GUGUAUGUUUAUUACCGUCUAGUACAGUUGGCUAGUAUUUUUUAAAUUAACUAUCAAGAUAUCAGAUAUUUGAUAUCCCACAUAUACAUGCUCAAACAUUUGGCUAGACUCUGUUGGUUUAAAAUGACCAGCAUGCUGCUCUGUGGCGUGAGGCUGAGUUGGACCGAGUCACAUUCGAAAUGGAGUGAAGCUGAGUUGGGCCGAGUUAUGUUCGAAGUGGAGUGAGGUUGGUUGGGCGGAAUCACAAUCGAUAACCGUGGGUAGGGAUGGCAAUUCAACUCGUUGUUCACGAGUCAGCUCGUGUUCGGCGCGAAAUGAGCUCCAGAGUAAAUCGCUCGUUUAGUAAACGAGCCAAACAUGAGCUAAAUUUUUCAGCUCGUUUAAUAAACGAGCCGAAUAUAAGCUGGAGCUAGCUCGUUCGUGUUCAGCUCGAUAACAUAUAUUUUAUAUAUAUAUAUAUAUAUAUAUAUAUAUAUAUAUAUAUGUAUAUAAUAUUUUUAUUGUUUGAUUUUUAGCAAAAUCAAAAUACAAAGCCAAAUUUAAUUAUAAAAAGACUCAUUUAUCUGUAAAGUUUCAAUCAUUAGAUCAAAGUCUAAUGGGUAAGGUUUUAUAAAUUUAUUUUAUAUAUAUAUAUAUAUAUAUAUCUAAUCUAAUCCUUUUAAUUUGUUAUUCAUUGGUCAACUCGUGUUCGACUCGUUAACACUCUUAUUCGCUGGCGCUAUGUCUGUACAUUUUGAACAAAUUAAUUGUAUCUCCUUGACAGCUCGAUUUUUUAAAAUCAAUGGUUAGUGCCA